rnacentral:rRNA from 1 species
UACGGAGGGGGCGAGCGUUGUCCGAAGUUACUGGGCGUAAAGCGUGCGUAGGUGGUUCGUUAAGUCUGAUGUGAAAGCCCUGGGCUCAACCUGGGAAUGGCAUUGGAAACUGGCGACCUAGAGUGCGGUAGAGGGUAGUGGAAUUCCCGGUGUAGCAGUGAAAUGCGUAGAGAUCGGGAGGAACAUCCGUGGCGAAGGCGACUACCUGGACCAGCACUGACACUGAGGCACGAAAGCGUGGGGAGCAAACAGG